AGGCGGCGUGCCUAACACAUGCAAGUCGAACGGAGAUAUUAAUGAAGCUUGCGAUUUAAUAUCUUAGUGGCGGACGGGUGAGUAACGCGUGAGCAACCUAGCCAUAAGAGGGGGAUAACAGUUGGAAACGACUGCUAAUACCGCAUAAGCUGGCUGGUACACAUGUACCGGUUAGUAAAGAUGGCCUCUGUAUAUGCUAUCACUUAUGGAUGGGCUCGCGUCUGAUUAGCUAGUUGGUGGGGUAACGGCCUACCAAGGCGACGAUCAGUAGCCGGCCUGAGACCCUGGACGGCCACACUGGGACUGAGACACGGCCCAGACUCCUACGGGGGGCAGCAGUGGGGAAUAUUGCGCAAUGGGCCAAACCCUGACGCAGCGACGCCGCGUGAGCGAAGAAGGCCAAAGGGUUGUAAAGCUCUGUUUUCAGGAAAGAACGUCGCGGGUAAUAAUACGAUCCGCGAAAGACGGUACCUGAAGAGGAAGCCCCGGCUAACUACGUGCC
rnacentral:rRNA from 1 species